rnacentral:rRNA from 1 species
UGGACAACUACCUCCGGACGGGUAUAAACCGGGAAAUGGGUAUAAUCCCCGAUAGAUCUCGGUCGCUGGAAUGCCCCGAGAUCGAAAGCUCCGGCGCCAGAGGAUGGGUCUGCGGCCUAUCAGGUAGUAGUGGGUGUAGCGUACCUACUAGCCUACGACGGGUACGGGUUGUGAGAGCAAGAGCCCGGAGAUGGAUUCUGAGACACGAAUCCAGGCCCUACGGGGUGCAGCAGGCGCGAAAACUUUACAAUGCCGGCAACGGCGAUAAGGGGACCUCGAGUGCCAGGUUACAAAUCUGGCUGUCGUGAUGCCUAAAAAGCAUUGCAUAGCAAGGGCCGGGCAAGACCGGUGCCAGCCGCCGCGGUAACACCGGCGGCUCGAGUGGUAACCGUUAUUAUUGGGUCUAAAGGGUCUGUAGCCGGCCGGAUAAGUCUCUUGAGAAAUCCAGCAGCUCAACUGUUGGGCUUU